AGUAAAAGUCGUAACAAGGUUUCCGUAGGUGAACCUGCGGAAGGAUCAUUAUCGAAUAAACUUGAACAGGCUGUUGCUGGUCCCUUGGGGCAUGUGCACGCUUGUCAUCUUUAUAUCUCUCCAACUGUGCACAUACUGUAGACCGAGUUUGGGACUGCUGUGCUUCUUUAUAGCCAGCCAGCUUUCCCUUUUUCUUCAUUUCAGGUCUAUUAUUUUAACACAAACCCCUGUGAUUUUUAGAAUGUUGAAAUAAAAAGAUGAAUUUUAUACAACUUUCAGCAACGGAUCUCUUGGCUCUCGCAUCGAUGAAGAACGCAGCGAAAUGCGAUAAGUAAUGUGAAUUGCAGAAUUCAGUGAAUCAUCGAAUCUUUGAACGCAUCUUGCGCUCCUUGGUAUUCCGAGGAGCAUGCCUGUUUGAGUGUCAUUCAAGUUCUCAACUGCAUCUUGUUUGCAGCUUGGAAAUGGAGGUUUAUGCAGGCUUGAUCAAGUCUGCUCCUCUGAAAUGAAUUAGUGGUGUCUUUUUGAGGCUUUACUAGGUGUGAUAAAACUAUCUAUGCCUAAAUAUGCUGAACCCAAAAACAUUGCUGCAAAACCAAAGUUUUUCUUUGUUGAUGAAUUGACCUC
rnacentral:sRNA from 1 species